GACGAACGCUGGCGGCGUGCCUAACACAUGCAAGUCGAGCGAAUGAAGUUCCUUCGGGAACGGAUUUAGCGGCGGACGGGUGAGUAACACGUGGGCAACCUGCCUCAUAGAGGGGAAUAGCCUUCCGAAAGGGAGAUUAAUACCGCAUAAGAUUGUAGUACCGCAUGGUACAGCAAUUAAAGGAGCAAUCCGCUAUGAGAUGGGCCCGCGGCGCAUUAGCUAGUUGGUGAGGUAACGGCUCACCAAGGCGACGAUGCGUAGCCGACCUGAGAGGGUGAUCGGCCACAUUGGGACUGAGACACGGCCCAGACUCCUACGGGAGGCAGCAGUGGGGAAUAUUGCACAAUGGGGGAAACCCUGAUGCAGCAAACGCCGCGUGAGUGAUGAAGGCCUUGGUGUAAGUCUAUCAGCAGGGAAGAAGAUGACGGUACCUGACUAAGAAGACCCCGGCUAACUACGUGCCAGCAGCCGCGGUAAGAGUCACG
rnacentral:rRNA from 1 species